GCUGGGUGUGGUGGUGCAUGCCUGUAAUCCCAGUGGUUUGGGAGGCUGAGGCAGGAUGAUCUCGAGUUCAAAGCCAGACUCAGCAACUUAGCGAGGUCCUAGCAACUUGAAACCCUGUCUUAA
rnacentral:sRNA from 1 species